CUCGGACAGAAGAGGGAGUUGAAAUGGGGACCUUCCCAGCUUCAGCCCCCAGGAGAGAUGACUUUUCUUUCUUUAUCAGGCUACAACUUUUAAAAGGAGAAAAAUAUUUUUAAGAAAGAAAAAGCAGAAAAAAAGAAAACUUUUAAAGGAUGGAAGGGAUCCAGCUCUUUAAGCCACAAUAAAACUGCUCAUCACUCAGGAAGUGUGUUAGCCAAAACUACGAAAAGAAAUUCCUUCUUGACCGCCGUCGUUCCCAUGGUUGCAGUUCAUCCCCAAGUGCAGACCACAGACACAGAAAUCUGCGUCCCCCAGGCAUCUGCACAGCUAAGAAAUCGGAAGCGGCUGCCAGCCCCUCACCCUCGGGACUUUUACUGGUCCUGCGCCCAAUGAGCAGGUGAGGGGCGGCACAGAAAGACCUUCAUCGCCUUUAAUGGCUCUCAGAGUAUAAGAGCUCCCGGGCACUGUGGGACCUGGGUUCUGAGGUUCCCCUCGGGCGGCUUCCGGCCCGGCCCAGGGAACCAGCAGCUGCGGCUCUCCACAGAGUGCACGGGCAGAGGACCCUGCAGACCCCUGCUGAGAGGAAGCCGGAGACACGGCCUCAGGUGCAGGCCUUAGCUCAGCACACAGCUCUAUCUGCAGAGUGGCUCCCACAGCCUGGGCGUCACUGAGGAGACACACGCUGCACAGGGCCCGCUGGCCGGGCCCAACCUGGCCAAGGGAGGUGAUCACGCACCCAACCACAGGGCGUGCGGAAACUGGGGUGACUCCCUGGCACCUGGACGGGCUCAGAAGGGCCUUUUCAGUCCGUCCUGGGUGUCCAGCCUGUGACCACCAGCAGCUCCCUCCUGCUUGGACCUGAAGGCAGCUCCCUGCAGCAUCCAAGGACAUGGGUCACCCCUGCCCACCUGCCCUGGGCCUGGUCUCAAGUCAAAGCCGCCAGAGGUCCCCGUCCAGAAGCAGCGCUGUUUCCUCGCUGCCCCGCAUCCCCGGUGGCCUGGCCUGCCGGUCGCCCUCCAGUGAGACCCCACUCUGAGGCCUCAGGCUGGCACAGGCACCGAAACGCCCCCAAACGCCGCAGAAGCAGAGGAAAGGACACCUGCUUUUCAGCAAAGCCACUCCCUGGGUCACUCCUCCACGGGGCAGAGAUCUGUGAGAACCAUAAACUUGCAUUUUCUUCAGAAAGCACCUUCUUCUAUCUAACUGUGGAAGCCUUCUUAAAUAAGUACAAUACUGUAAUGUAAAUGCUAACUUCGGCCCCCAGUACACUCGCCAGCAAGGAAAGGAAUUCACAGGCGAGCACUCCACGUCAGCGCUGAAAAGAACUAGGAUGAUCCGUGUGCUCAGGCAGAGCGAUCUAAAGCAACACAUGGUAGGGACUGUCAGCGGACGCUGCCUCACUGUGAGCCUGCAGGAAAGGACCUGAGUGUAUUCAGAUGGUGACAGUAAGUUCUAACAAACUUCCCACACGCAGAUAUAAAUCCAAUCACAUCAGUAAAAAUAUCAGUAAAAACUGACUCUUACCCAAAGGGAUUACUGGCAAAGGCUUCGAGCCAGGGAGACCAAGGAGAGCACCCACUCGGGGAGGCCCAGAGGGCAGGGUGGGCUGCAGCUCCUGAGGGACCUGGAGCAGCUGAGGCUGAGGCGGCAGCACGGGCAGCGAGGCAGAGUGACUGUAGUGGAGCAGGACUAUACUCCCAGCAGUCUGGGGGGCUGAGGAAGGAGGAUCCAAGCACAAGCCCAACCUGGGCAACUUAGCGAGACCUUGUCUCCAAAUAAAAAGGGCUGGGGAUGCAGCUCAGUGGGAAGGCCCUGGGUUGGCUCCCUGCACCCCCGACACACACAUGCACACUCACACACAAGUGACUGCAGGACGUGUGCUCUCUGCCCCACCAGCAAGGGGAGCUCCAUGAGGAAGCUCAGUGAGUGUGAGGUUCGGCCACCAGCUGACGCAUGGGCGUUCGCCGCCGGGACAGACACCCUCAGGAAGCAGCCCCAGCCAGGACGCCAUGUCCCAGCCCACCGGCAGGCAUCCUGGACUGGAUCCCAGCCCCUCGAGCCACUGUGGGCUCUGGGCUCAGGACGCGAGGUGCCGCCCUGCAGGCCACCCGGGCCCCCCGGGCCCCGUGCCUGACCUUGGCCUUCCUGCUGCCCCCCGCCUUUUAAAGGUUUUCCUGGCAGCCUUGCCAUUUUGCUUCUGGUAGUGGCUUUUACAGAACCGGCUCUUUGUUUACGGGCCAGGACGCCACAAUUGCAGCAGCACAUGAGAUGUUCUAGAUGUUCCCGGCAGCUUCUCUUCAGCAUCAAAUAUUAAACUCCUGCCAUCGGCAGAGUUUGGACCUGGGGUGGGGCCAGCAGGAAGAGCUCGGGCGCAGAGACCUUGGCCUGACCUCAGAUCCAGGCAGGAGGGUGCUCGCCCGUGUCCCGCCCCAGGGACCGAGCUCCGAGAGAGCAAGCCAGCCCAGCGUCCGGCUCUGGCUCAAGGGCCCCAGGGCUGGGCUGGAAACAGAAUCCAACUGUGCCUCUCGAGGCCUCCAGCUGAAGCAGCUCUUUUCUUUUUCUUUUGCCUUUUCUUUUCUUCUUCUUCUUCUUUUAUUUUUUCUAAUUUUGAGACAAGGUCCUCCUGAGUCCCUUAGCUGCCCGAGGCUAGGCUCAAACUUACGAUCCUCCUGCUUCAGCAUCCCGGAGUGCUGGGGUCACAGGUGUGCAGCACCUCGCCUGCUGAGCAGCUCCUGGGCAGCAUUUCUGAGUCUCCACCGACUGUCACCUGAGCCCGAGGACUGCACACCGGCCCUGGAGGCCACUGUGCCUGCAGACGGCAAAAGGCGACACAUAGACACCAGGCAGUGACGGUAACACUGGCCGGGCCCACGCACUUCCAGCUUUGCUCCACCAUGCCCUUCCACCAUGACAUUCCUGCCUUGGAGCAGCCGAUCAGGGACUGAAUCCCCUGCAACUUUCCAUCUGCAUUUCCUGUUAUUCUCCAAUAAACAAAACGACAAGUCCUGAACCCAGGAUGACCACCCCAGGCGGAGGCCCGGGCUGAGCGGCUCCCUGGCUGUGGACAGGCUCCUGGGGACGGCCGAACCCUCCUCCUCUGCCCACAGACAGAGCCCGAAGCGCGUGUUCAGCGCAUGCCCUACCUGCACACUGCCACAGGACUACCUCGAAGCCGUCCCUGUCGGCGUGGUGCUUUGGGCCUCAAGUGUCUCCCAAGCACCGCUGUCUCAGGGGUUUGUCACGGUGACGGAAAGCUGGCCGAUGCGGACAUCUGGAGCCGCGCAGAGGAGGAUCUGCUCGGUGUCACUUCGGCACAGCCUGGGGGUCCUGUCCUAGGGCGCUGGCUUCUCAAGCUGGAGCAGACCUGGCCCAGCCUCUUGUCACCAAUCGCCGGCCACCUUGUUUGGAGGAUUCGAGUUCUGGGGUGCCAACCUAACCCGGCUCAACCCACAGAGACCAGAGCUGGGCCAAGGCUGAGUGUGAAGGUUCUGGCUGCCCAGGGCCCUUCCAGGCUCUCAUCCUGUUCAAAGAAUUGUAUGGAGAGGCUUCACACGCAUUAAAGGUGCGCGGGGGCCUGGGACUCAGCUGCUCCCCUACUGCACGGCCUGCGUGGGAAGAAGCCCACUCCCCAGGCCACUGCAGUGCAUGGGAGGAAGGGCCCUGAGAGGACGUCCCCUCCCUGGACAACCAUCUGCUAGGCUGCCAGGGGCUGCCAGGAAGACACAGGCCCAGAGGGCCAGAGAGUUCCGGACGCCGUCUGGCGUUCCCACUGUGGGAAGGCACUGACCUGGCCAUUGCUCCUCGGAGAUCCUGGGCAGAGAGAUGGGGGCGGCACAGAAAGCUCACCCACAGGCCCGAGGCCUGUUUUUAUAAAUAAAGCUUUAUUGGAACACUGACGCUAUCCUUCCUUUGCAUCUUGUCUGUGGCUGCUUUCCUGCUACAGGAACAGUGGAAUCCUUGGGGCAACCAGGCUCAGGAUGUUUGCCAGACGGCAGGCGAUGCUGUCCCCCAGAAGAUGUAGCUUGUCCUGGCCGGUGGCUGACUCUGCCGUGGGUAUGCACACCAGCUCCUGUGUGGGAUUCCAGCGAUGAGGCAGAAAGGCCGCACGCGUUGUGGCAGCAGCAAAGGCCACUUGCCUGUGUGGCCAGGAUGUGACAGAGAAGGAAGAGAAGGGCCCGGUCCCCCACGUCUCCAAGGGCUCCCCAGGGACCUCGCCCUCAGCCUAUCACUGGGCUUGUCCGGCCUGGAGGAGAAUUUCUGCAGAACCAGUGAGCUCAUCCACUUGAGUGAGGGCACGGGAGGCCAGGAGGAGGCCCUGAGCGCUGUCCACCGCGAGCCAUGUUGGGGUGAACAGGAGUGCCUGCUGGAUCCAAGCCUGCCCCAGAGAAUACAAGAUCUGGGAGCUCUUCUGAGGAAAGAGACGGAACCCCAGCUGGUCACUGAGCAGAUGCUGCAGCCCCCCGGUGGGUCCAUGCACACCAGGAGCUCCGCUCGCCAGGUGCUGGCGGCCUCCUCCCGGUGUUUGCUGGUGAAGACGAGCCUGGACUUCCUUCAAAGUACGGCUGUCGCUGGCACAGGAGUGGGGGUUGGGGGUGACAGCUUGAGGGGGUUGUUUUUCCUUGUUAGCAAGUUCUGCGUUUAACAUUUAAAAUUAUGACAACUGAUGCAAUGUUUUCUUGAAAUGGUGAAGCUAUUUUAAACCAUUCAGCUGGACAGGAGUUUGUAGUUUAUACUGGUACACGUUUAAAACACUUCGCAAUUAAUUAUUGGGCUUAAAAAAUUAAAGCUAUAAUCUGGGCGUGGUGCUGCACACCUGUAAUCCCAGCACUUGGGAGGCUGACACAGGAGUAUCGCUGUGAGUUUGAGGCCAGCCUGGGCAAUAUGGUGAGACCCGUGUCAAUCCCCCCAGAUCAAAGCUGUAAAUUUAUUCCGAUUUCUGUCUUGCACUUCAUUUCAGUGGAAAUAAAGGGCCGGCUAGGAGCACUCUGACUGGCAGUGACGAGACAAUGACAGCUUUUGCUGAAGGCGAAACCUGCCGCCGUCAUUCUUGGGGAUCGGUAGCCUUUCCCCAGUGGGCUUGAGGCCCGGCGCGAGGUCCGUUCUUCACCAGGAGUGCGAAUUCUUCUCUCUAAAUGCAUGUUGACGUUUAGUUGGCACACAGUAAUCACACGCAUGUGGGUUUCGGUGCCGCACUUCGGCACGCGGCACGGAAUGAUCCGUGACUGACGCAGCCAUCGCCUCAAAUGGCAGUCGUUUCUUGGGGGAGGCCCCCGCAUCCCCUCCCUCACUGUUCUGAAAUACUCAGCUGAUCACGGCCCACCACACUUAUCCAGCCCUGCUGUCCUCCCACCCGCCUGCACCCCAACGCCCACGACCGCCCCUCUCCCCGUCCGGGGCUCGGGAGUCUCAGUGUCCCCUUCUUCUAGGAGAAACCUCUUAGCUGUGAUAAAAACAUCCCACGAGUGUUUGCUUUGUUUUGUUUUGGUUGGGUUUGGCGUUGUCUUUCUGCCCUGGCUCUUUCACCUGGAGGGGCGGCCCCCAGUUCCGUGAGAAAUGGAAGGCGGCCGCCCUGAAGAAGCCGAGCGCGCUCUCUGCCCAGGACCCCAGGCUGCAGCCCGCGUGCCCACAGGCGGGAUGCGCACGGCGCCCAGCUGUCGGGAGGGGGGUCCCGGGGCGCCAGGCGUGGACAGUGACAGGGCCGGCAGGGUCCACGGGGCGGGGAGGGGACGGUGUCUGGGGCUGAGGGCCAUGGGGCAGCAGAAUGAAUUAGCAGCUUCUCGUUCUCCUCCCGGAAUCCCCCAGGCCCUGGGACUUUUUGACCAGGAUGACGACCUUCAAGGACUGGGUGGUCGCUCUGACCACAGUGCAGAGUGGGGGAAGGAAAGGAGACGUGUCAGGAGGAGAUUCCGUGCCCGCCUGGACCAAGGAGCGUCAGAAGAAUGGGGAGGAGAAGGCGGGACCCAAGGCUAUUCAGGGAACCAAGUCAAGAGGCCCACAUUCAUCCCUGACAGCAUUAUUUAUCAGCAAUACACGUGUUUGUUUUGUUUUAUUUUGUUUUGGAGACAGGGUCUCACUAUAUCAUCCAGGCUGGUCUUGAACUCCCAGCAAUCCUCUUGCUUCGGCCUCCAGGUAACUAGGAUUACAGGUUUGCACCACCAUAUCUAGUUUAUACGUAUUUUUUGUUAUGUAUCAGCUAACAAAUUUAAUUUUAAAAACAAAUCCUGUUCUUUAAAACUUUUGUAAAACCAGGUGUUGUAAAA
rnacentral:lncRNA from 1 species